GACGAACGCUGGCGGCGUGCUUAACACAUGCAAGUCGAACGGAGUUGCGAACGGGUGAGUAACACGUGGGUGAUCUGCCUUGCACUCUGGGAUAAGCUUGGGAAACUGGGUCUAAUACCGGAUAGGGCAAGAUGAGCUCGCGGCCUAUCAGCUUGUUGGUGGGGUAAUGGCCUACCAAGGCGUCGACGGGUAGCCGGCCUGAGGGGGUGUACGGCGACACUGAGACUGAGAGACGGCAGAGACGCCUACGGGAGGCAGCAGGGGGGAAGAUUGCACAAGGGGCGGAAGGCGGAUGCAGCGAGGCCGCGGGGGGGAGGACGGACUUCGGGUUGUAAACGCCGGUCGACAGGGACGCGGUACCUGGAUAAGAAGCACCGGCUAACUACGUGCCAGCCGCCGCGGUAAUAC
rnacentral:rRNA from 1 species